rnacentral:rRNA from 1 species
CUAAGAAUAUUCCGCAAUGGACGAAAGUCUGACGGAGCGACGCCGCGUGGAUGAAGAAGGCCGCAAGGUUGUAAAAUCCUUUUGCUGGGGAAGAAUAAGUCCAGGAGGGAAUGCCUGGAUGAUGACAUGAACCGGCGAAUAAGCCCCGGCCAACUACGUGCCAGCAGCCGCGGUAACACGUAGGGGGCAAGCGUUGUGCGGAAUUACUGGGCGUAAAGGGCAUGUAGGCGGUUUAGUAAGCUUGGCGGGAAAGACCACAGCUCAACUGUGGGGGUGCGUUGGGGACUGCUGAACUUGAGUUAGGGAGAGGGAGCUAGAAUUCCUGGUGUAGGGGUGGAAUCUGUAGAGAUCAGGAAGAAUACCGAUGGCGAAGGCAAGCUUCUGGCCGAUAACUGACGCUGAGGUGCGAAAGUGUGGGGAUCAAACA